rnacentral:rRNA from 1 species
GAUGAACGCUGGCGGCGUGCCUAAUACAUGCAAGUCGAGCGAACAGACGAGGAGCUUGCUCCUCUGACGUUAGCGGCGGACGGGUGAGUAACACGUGGAUAACCUACCUAUAAGACUGGGAUAACUUCGGGAAACCGGAGCUAAUACCGUAUAACAUGUUGAACCGCAUGGUUCAACAGUGAAAGACGGUCUUGCUGUCACUUAUAGAUGGAUCCGCGCCGCAUUAGCUAGUUGGUAAGGUAACGGCUUACCAAGGCAACGAUGCGUAGCCGACCUGAGAUGGUGAUCGGCCACACUGGAACUGAGACACGGUCCAGACUCCUACGGGAGGCAGCAGUAGGGAAUCUUCCGCAAUGGGCGAAAGCCUGACGGAGCAACGCCGCGUGAGUGAAGAAGGUCUUCGGAUCGUAAAACUCUGUUAUUAGGGAAGAACAAAUGUGUAAGUAACUAUGCACGUCUUGACGGUACCUAAUCAGAAAGCCACGGCUAACUACGUG